rnacentral:rRNA from 1 species
UAAGGAAUAUUGCUCAAUGGGAGAAAUCCUGAAGCAGCAACGCCGCGUGGAGGAUGAAGGGUCUAUGACUUGUAAACUCCUGUAAAGAAGGAAAAAAUUCCCAUUAGAUGGGAGAUGAUGGUACUUCUGGAGUAAGCCCCGGCUAACUACGUGCCAGCAGCCGCGGUAAUACGUAGGGGGCAAGCGUUGUCCGGAUUUACUGGGUGUAAAGGGUGCUCAGGCGGAUUUGUAAGUCAGAGGUGAAAUCUUACAGCUUAACUGUGAAACUGCCUUUGAUACUGCAAGCCUAGAGUAUGGAAGAGAGUGAUGGAAUAUCUGGUGUAGCAGUGAAAUGCGUAGAUAUCAGAUAGAACACCAAUGGCGAAGGCAGUCACUUGGUCCAUUACUGACGCUAAAGCACGAAAGCGUGGGUAGCAAA